rnacentral:lncRNA from 1 species
UGGGACUUCUUGAAGUGUAGACACUAAAAAAUACAGACUCUGUGUCGAUAAACAAAAACUUCUCAGGAUAAACAUAAACUUGUGGUUCAAAAAAUUUCUAUUUAUUAUACGCAGUUUGUAUUUAUUAUUUGGGAUUUGUAUUUAUUAUGAAAAAUUUAUGUUUAUUCUGGACCUGUUUGUGUUUAUUAUUUAGAGUUUGU